rnacentral:rRNA from 1 species
UACGUAGGUGGCGAGCGUUGUCCGGAUUUACUGGGCGUAAAGCGCGCGCAGGCGGCAGUCUAAGUCCUCUGUGAAAUCACCCGGCUCAACUGGGUGGCUGCGGAGAAGGCUGGGCAGCUUGAGGGGCCUAGAGGCCGGUGGAACUCCCGGUGUAGUGGUGAAAUGCGUAGAGAUCGGGAAGAACACCAGUGGCGAAGGCGGCCGGCUGGGGGCGCCCUGACGCUGAGGCGCGAGAGCGUGGGGAGCGAACAGG